rnacentral:rRNA from 1 species
GACAGAGGGUGCAAACGUUGUCCGGAAUUACUGGGCGUACAGCGCGUGUAGGCAGUUUCGCAAGUCGGGUGUGAAAGCCCUGGGCUCAACCUAGGAAGUGCACUCGAAACUGCGAGACUUGAGUCCUGGAGAGGAAGGCGGAAUUCUCGGUGUAGAGGUGAAAUUCGUAGAUAUCGAGAGGAACACCGGUGGCGAAGGCGGCCUUCUGGACAGUGACUGACGCUGAGACGCGAAAGCGUGGGGAGCAAACAGG